rnacentral:misc_RNA from 1 species
UUUCCGUAGGUGAACCUGCGGAAGGAUCAUUAUUGUAUAACCGAGGUGCUAGUGAUACCGCUGAACCGAAAUGUCGCGCACGCCGGAGUGCCCUCACACCCAUCCAUCUCACCCCGAUGUUCCCCACCGCGUGGGUCCCCCUUUUGCGUGUGCUGAGGGGGGUUUCCUUUUUCGCACAAGCUUUGUAUACAGUGUGUGGCGUAUUUUUUGUUUUUGCCAUCUCGCAAUCACUACAACUUUCAACCAUCGAUCCCUUGCCUCCCGCAUCGACGAAGAACG